rnacentral:lncRNA from 1 species
GAAGUCUAGCCCACAUCCUAUCACUCAGCUUCACCGUUUUCUGCCUCUCCGUCACACGCUGCAACAAGAUGUUCGGUGAUCAACUGGUGGUAUAUAUUACGCAAUGCACGAAACAAGCAAUAUAAUAGUAUGAGAAACGAUGUAGAACAAAAUCUCCAAUUACACACUUAAAAGAAACGACUAGUUGUAUGGAGAAAUUAUCAAAUAAUCAAUGGCUUUUCACUGAAUAUAUCCAAUUAUUAAAAGCAAAGAAAAAUACAGCAUGUUGAUAGUCAGGGUCAACUUAAUCUUGCAGUCUAUCAGAUGGUGUCUGAGAUCAACCCAGAAAGGGCUUUCGUUUUCUUUUUGUAGCUUCAGAUGGUGGAAAUGGUUUCCGUGACAAAUUUAUUUCCAGGGUUCAAAUUUCAGAAACUUCAUCAACCUCCUGCAACUUUCAGAAAAAAAAAAACUGCAUAUUUUUGUGCCAGGCUGGCUGGCAGGCAAGCUUUCUCUUCUUCAUCUUCAGUCAUCUUUUAUGAUCGUUAAUCCUAGUUAGACUAGUUCAGUUUUUUUACUUAAUAAAAAGUCUCUAUAAAGACUCAUCUAUGGUAUUUUCUUAAUGCAUGGAAGAAUAAAAUCAUUUUUUUUAAUGUUUUUCUUGUUAUAGCAGGUUGCUUGGGGAGAAUCCAGGUGGACGUUAGGAAAGUUUCUUCAAUAAGAAUCAAAAUACUCAAUGAUCAUUCUACAUGGGUACAAGGUUUCAUCCAUUUGGAACAGUUGGUCGUUUGGAUGAGGAGUAUGAAUGCCGAGUCUGGAAGCCAUGGAAUUCAUUCAAUGGCUCAAUUUAAUAGCUAUUCCGAUAUAUUAUUCCAUUCCACAACCCUUGAUGUUUUAGUCUAGAAAGGUUUUCAAUUGAAUUGUAGUAUGUAAAAACUGAAGACCUACUGAAGAAAACAACAGAAAAUAUUUGAAUUAGAAAAUCUAUAUGAAAUUAAUAGGAUAUAAAAAAUUGUUUCAGAAAAUAACAAAGCAAACAAAAAUACUAAAAGAUUGUUAAGCGUAGCACAGUGUUUAGCAAUGAUAGUAAAUUACUUGAAUUGAAUAUACACGAGUUAAUGAAAUGAG